rnacentral:rRNA from 1 species
UACGUAGGGCGCAAGCGUUGUCCGGAAUUAUUGGGCGUAAAGAGCUCGUAGGCGGUUUGUUACGUCUGCUGUGAAAACCCGGGGCUUAACCCUGGGCUUGCAGUGGAUACGGGCAGACUAGAGGCAGGUAGGGGAGAAUGGAAUUCCCGGUGUAGCGGUGAAAUGCGCAGAUAUCUGGAGGAACACCGGUGGCGAAGGCGGCAUCCUGGACCAACACUGACACUGAGGAGUGAAAGCCAGGGGAGCAAACGGG